GACGAACGCUGGCGGCGUGCUUAACACAUGCAAGUCGAGCGAUGAAAGCCUUAUGAACUAUUCGUAGUGAUUGAGGCCGGAUUAGCGGCGGACGGGUGAGUAACGCGUGAGCAACCUACCUUAAACAACGGGAUAGCCUCGGGAAACCGGGAUUAAUACCGUAUGAGACCCCGCCUUCACAUGAAGAAGAGGUUAAAGAUUUAUCGGUUUAAGAUGGGCUCGCGUCGGAUUAGCUAGUUGGUGAGAUAAAAGCCCACCAAGGCAACGAUCAGUAACCGGCUUGAGAGAGUGAACGGUCACAUUGGAACUGAGACACGGUCCAAACUCCUACGGGAGGCAGCAGUGGGGAAUAUUGCACAAUGGGGGAAACCCUGAUGCAGCGACGCCGCGUGAGCGAUGAAGGAAUUCGUUUCGUAAAGCUCUGUCCAAGGGGAAGAUAAUGACAGUACCCUUGGAGGAAGCCCCGGCUAAAUACGUGCCAGCCGCCGCAGUAA
rnacentral:rRNA from 1 species